rnacentral:snoRNA from 1 species
ACCUGCAUUCAAAAGUGGGCUCGGACUGCCCGUGUCCUGGUCAUCAACGAUGCAGGGAGAGCAAUUGCGGACAGCCGUUUCCCGUGUUUGGAGGGUUCGGUACCUGUCCCUGCAAAUGCCGGCGCUUUCACACA